rnacentral:rRNA from 1 species
UAGGGAAUAUUGGACAAUGGGGGCAACCCUGAUCCAGCCAUGCCGCGUGAGUGAAGAAGGCCCUCGGGUUGUAAAGCUCUUUUGUCCGGAAAGAAAAGCUUCGGGUUAAUACCCCGGGGUUCUGACGGUACCGGAAGAAUAAGCACCGGCUAACUUCGUGCCAGCAGCCGCGGUAAUACGAAGGGUGCAAGCGUUACUCGGAAUUACUGGGCGUAAAGCGUGCGUAGGUGGUUGUUUAAGUCUGAUGUGAAAGCCCUGGGCUCAAACUGGGAAUGGCAUUGGAAACUGGGCAGCUAGAGUGCGGUAGAGGGUAGUGGAAUUCCCGGUGUAGCAGUGAAAUGCGUAGAGAUCGGGAGGAACAUCUGUGGCGAAGGCGACUGCCUGGACCAGCACUGACACUGAGGCACGAAAGCGUGGGGAGCAAACA